AUUGAACGCUGGCGGCAUGCCUUACACAUGCAAGUCGAACGGUAACGCGGGGCAACCUGGCGACGAGUGGCGAACGGGUGAGUAAUGCAUCGGAACGUGCCCAGUAGUGGGGGAUAGCCCGGCGAAAGCCGGAUUAAUACCGCAUACGACCUACGGGUGAAAGGGGGGGAUCGCAAGACCUCUCGCUAUUGGAGCGGCCGAUGUCAGAUUAGGUAGUUGGUGGGGUAAAGGCCUACCAAGCCGACGAUCUGUAGCUGGUCUGAGAGGACGACCAGCCACACUGGGGCUGAGACACGGCCCAGACUCCUACGGGAGGCAGCAGUGGGGAAUUUUGGACAAUGGGCGAAAGCCUGAUCCAGCCAUGCCGCGUGCGGGAAGAAGGCCUUCGGGUUGUAAACCGCUUUUGUCAGGGAAGAAAUCUUCUGGGUUAAUACCUCGGGAGGAUGACGGUACCUGAAGAAUAAGCACCGGCUAACUACGUGCCAGCCGCCGCAGUAAAAC
rnacentral:rRNA from 1 species